AUACGGAUGGUGCGAGCGUUGUUCGGAAUUACUGGGCGUAAAGGGCGCGUAGGCGGCGAUGUAAGUCAAAUGUGAAAGUCCUCGGCUUAACCGGGGAAGUGCAUCUGAAACUGCAUUGCUUGAGUAUGGGAGAGGAAAGUGGAAUUCCCGGUGUAGAGGUGAAAUGCGUAGAGAUCGGGAGGAAUACCGGUGGCGAAGGCGACUUUCUGGACCAAUACUGACGCUGAGGCGCGAAAGCGUGGGGAGCAAACAGGAUUAGAAACCCCAGUAGUCC
rnacentral:rRNA from 1 species